GAAAAAGCCUUUAUGAAAAAAAGGAGUUGAAAUCCAGGUACUAGGAAAUAUGUUUACAGGCACUGGAGGAUGGUGUCCUUUGAAUCUACCUUUUGGCAAGCAGGACUAAAGCACCUGAGGACUCGAAUUAGUGGGGUUUUGUUCAUGCUGUCUCUUGUAAAAGGUAUUUAGAUAAGGUGCCGUGAGUAUUCCCUGAACCAUGUUCACUCAGAAACAAGUAAUUCAAGGGACUCAUAGCCCUCCACCGUCUCUUUAGAACUAACAGGCAAGUCUCUGAAUAGGAGGGAGGAAACAGACUGCCUUCAAUAAUGGAUUCUGAGAAUAGCUGAACAGCGUGGGUCUGCUGACAGCGCCCCCACUCCCUGGUAGACUGCUUCUGAAAAAGACUAGGGGAGAAAGAGUCCAAAAUAUAGUUCUCUAGGCCACCAAGAGAUGUGGAAUUGGAUACGGCUCAUGAAGAACUGCCUUUCACCCCAAAGUAUAUUACUAUGCAGCCUCUAUUUCACUGGAGAAAGAAAUUGCAUAUAAAGAUGGAUGCUAGCGAUCAGACUUCAGAAAUUAAGAACAUCUUUUACUGGAGUCAGACAAAGUUGGACAACUUUUCCCAUUUACAGAGUACGUGACUAUGGAUAAAGUACUUAACCUCUCAGUGACUCGGUUUAAAAUGGAAAUAGCAAUGUUAUCUGCCUCUCAGGGCUGUUAUGAAGAUUCAAUGAGAUAAUGCUCAUGACAUGGAUAACCUUGGAUGUGGCUUUGUUUAAGCCCCGCAGAGACAUUGGCACUACUGCUGUGGUGGCUGCUGCUCUGUGUCCAAGGGCCUUUCAUUUUGUAUUUAAGGAUGGGGGAGAAGGAGUAGGUACAGGUGGGUGGUCAGCACCAGAAGCUUACACGUGACUAGUGUGUGUCUGUAAUAAAAAGGAAAAUAAGCCGUGAAUUGAAGAAAGAAGAUUAACAUUAAUGUUGUCUACAAAGGCCAGAAAACCAACAGAGAUUUACAACAACAACAACAGCAACAAGAAACCCUAGAAAAUAUUGAUUAGGUUCUGCAAAAGUAAAUAAAAAUAGUGUCAGUCAGCUAGCCGCUAAUUCUAAGCAGUCCUAUCCCCCAGCGUAGGACAGAAACGAUUCUGCAUAUCAUUAAUACAUAACAGAUUCAUUUUGCUGUAAGUUUAAUUUGAUUACUUCACUAAAUUCUGUUAUUAAUACUCAGCCUUCUGCUGCUCGUGUAGCAGGGCCCCCUGUUCAUGAUUUUUAGAAAUAAAAGGAUGUAUUUGCUCAAUAUCCACCCAGAAGGAAGGGACAUGAUGUCUCCCUACAGCUAGGAUGAGAACGGGCUACUGUGGAACGUGAAGGGGAGAAGGCACGGUGGGCGCUGCUCUGGGACAGAGAUGCUAAUGCCAACAGAGCCACUUCCCGCCAACCUAAGGUGGGGAGUGAUCCCCUCAUAUGCAUUUCACAGGUCCAGUCAGAUAACAAAAUCCUCUCCAAGUCCUUCCACAAACAGAAUUGAAUAAAAGAAAUGGGUUACAAAGGUGAUGAGUUGAGAUGGCAAAAAAUAAAACUUGGAAUAGCAGCAUCCAGUCACCACCAUGAAUCUAAGGGUGGAGUGGCAAGAGGAUGGGGUAGCCUUCAUUCCCAGAGCCCAAGAGCAGGAAACAAAACUGUGGGAGAGGGUGGCACAUGGUAGGUGUUAGAACCUCAGGGAGAGGUACUACUGACCAGUGUUAGAGCCAUGAGGAAGAUGCAGCUGCUGCCAGAUCUGCAGAUGGCUCCAAAGCUGAGCAAGAUGGAAAAACCUACCCUAUUUUUCCCUCUUCCAGCCUUGCAGCCUUCUGCCAAUGCCUCCCAUUGGCCAAAACUACCAGGAAGCCAGUCUUAAGGGAGCCUAGGAAAGGUAGUUUCCUAGGAUACAAGGCAAAAGCAGCGAAAGGAACAGAAUGGAGCUGAUGAAAGCAAACAGGCCAGCACAUCAUGUUUGAUUGAAACACUUUGUGAAAACUGACCUGUGGUUGGAUGUGAGUUAAGCUGAACACCCUUACCCAGGAAGCCCACAGAGAGCAGAAACAGCCAAGUCACACCCCAGACCCCUCAGUCUAGCCAAGUCAUGGAAGUCCCCACUGGUGAAAGACAAGGAACUCUGGGUUAAGGAGACUUUUUCUCUCCGCUCACUGUUCUCUGUUGUCUCCUCUCUGAAAACAACUAUGUGUUAAUUGAUGGUUAUCAGAGUUGAAAUAGAUAAUAACAUAUUCAUACAAUGCAAUCUAAUUUGCUUAAAUCAAUGGUCCUUUGUUUCGGAUUAUCCAUUCAAAGCUUUUCCUCAUCAUCCUUAAUAAUUGAAAGUUACACCUCAUGAUUCUCAGAAUAAUUAACUUCUUAGAUUUCUGACUUUACGACUAAUACAGCUUUGUAAUAAGAACAUGUUAGAUUUGUAUAGAUCUUUGCAGCUAUGGCUCCCAGUCACGUGCAUUAUCCCAUUUUGCUUUAUACUCUGAGGGUCUGAAGUGAGGGAGAGAGAACUAGCAUUUGUUGAAUAUUGAUGAUGUGCCAGGCACUGUGUCGAGAACUUUCCAAGGAUUAAUUCAGUUAAUCAUCACAACACCCCAAUGAGGCUGAUAUUAUUAUUCCCAUCUUACAGACGAGGCAACUCACUUGCAGGGAACUGUUCUGUUUAAGAUCACACAGCCAAGUCCAGGACCCUAUCAGAGUAAAAAACUUACACCCACACACGCCCCUAUCACACAC
rnacentral:lncRNA from 10 species